UACGUAGGGUGCAAGCGUUGUCCGGAAUUAUUGGGCGUAAAGAGCUCGUAGGCGGUCUGUUGCGUCGGCUGUGAAAACCCGAGGCUCAACCUCGGGCCUGCAGCCGAUACGGGCAGACUAGAGUUCGGCAGGGGAGACUGGAAUUCCUGGUGUAGCGGUGAAAUGCGCAGAUAUCAGGAGGAACACCGGUGGCGAAGGCGGGUCUCUGGGCCGUAACUGACGCUGAGGAGCGAAAGCGUGGGGAGCGAACAGG
rnacentral:rRNA from 1 species